UGUUGGAGCCAUUGAACUUGCAUUACGAAGGAUCUGCUGCCUUCUGAAGGUCCCAGCCUAGAGCAAGAGAUGCAGAGUUGGAGGUCCUGAAUUCUUCUUUGGAAUCUGCUAUGAAAACACGAUGCCUGUGCUGUGUGUGUACUUUUAUCACUUGGCCUCUGUUUCCCACCCAUUCUCUAUUUGGUGCAUAAUUAGAUGUUCCAUUGCCUCUGAGAAGUUGCUUCCUUUUCUAAGCUAGGAACCUGUGAAGAGGCAAAGGAUUGUGAGGAGCCCUUUCAGCAGGGGGAAGGCUGCUGGUCAUGUAGAGGAAGAAUCUUCCAGACUAGCC